rnacentral:rRNA from 1 species
UACAGAGGGUGCGAGCGUUAAUCGGAAUUAUUGGGCGUAAAGAGUGCGUAGGCGGAUAAAUAAGUCGGAUGUGAAAUCCCUGGGCUUAACCUAGGAAUUGCGUCCGAAACUGUUUAUCUAGAGUAUAGUAGAGGGUGACGGAAUUUCCGGUGUAGCGGUGAAAUGCGUAGAUAUCGGAAGGAACAUCAGUGGCGAAGGCGGUUGCCUGGCCUGAUACUGACGCUGAGGCACGAAAGCAUGGGUAGCGAACAGG